CACGUAGGGCGCAAGCGUUGUCCGGAAUUAUUGGGCGUAAAGAGCUCGUAGGCGGUCUGUUGCGUCCGCUGUGAAAACUCGGGGCUUAACCCCGAGCCUGCAGUGGAUAAGGGCAGACUAGAGGUAGGUAGGGGAGAAUGGAAUUCCCGGUGUAGCGGUGAAAUGCGCAGAUAUCGGGAGGAACCCCGGUGGCGAAGGCGGGUCUCUGGACCGAUACUGACGCUGAGGAGCGAAAGCGUGGGGAGCGAACAGG
rnacentral:rRNA from 1 species